GGGAAUCUGGAACAACUACCAAUUCAUUUAGUUGAAGUUGAAUCUUUCACAACUUUUAAAAGUGCAAUGCUGUGGCAUCUUGUGCUGCUGGUUCACUUGCAAACUGUUUUGCUGCCCAUGGGAACAACCCCAGAUUUGCUGGGAGCAUUGGAAUUAACAGAAAUCAAGCUUAUGAGGAAGAACUGGAAUACAACAGAAACAUGCGGG